UACGUAGGGUGCGAGCGUUAAUCGGAAUUACUGGGCGUAAAGCGUGCGCAGGCGGUUUUGCAAGCCGGAUGUGAAAUCCCCGGGCUCAACCUGGGAAUGGCAUUCGGGACUGCAAGGCUGGAGUGCGGCAGAGGAGACUGGAAUUCCUGGUGUAGCAGUGAAAUGCGUAGAUAUCAGGAGGAAUACCGAUGGCGAAGGCAGGUCUCUGGGCUGACACUGACGCUCAGAAGCGAAAGCGUGGGGAGCGAACAGG
rnacentral:rRNA from 1 species